GGGCACACGGGGAGGACGGGAAUGAGGUCCAGCUGGUGCGGCGUGACGGUUAACUUCUUGCUCUACUACCUGGGGGAUAUCUGUCUCCCUAAAUGCCACAGAUCCUGGUCCCUCAGGAAUAACAGAUGUUACUGCUGGAAGCCAUCCCUGAGUCAGUCUACCAUCUCCAGAAACCGACUUGCUGAAGCUGUGAACGGCAGUCCCAGAGCGCUGUCCUCCCAUUGCUGGCCGCAAAGGCCAUUUCUCCUCUCAGAGUGGCCGGGCGGUCAGGGGAGCUCCGCUUGAUGGCGGGCGGUGUUGACUGGCACUUGGCGGGCGAGUGACCACUGCCGUGUAAAUAAUAGCAAGGACUCUUGGCUCAAGUUGGUUAUGAAAUCUGGAAAGGUCCUGCCCUGCUCAGCUAUCAGCUAUAUAAAAUCUGCUGGGUCAAUUUGGAAAAGGCAUUUGCCCCUGCUCCAAGCUGGCUUUAUCAUGAGAAAUAGUCUCUGACUUUGAAGCAGGUCAUGGACGGCCCACUUUUGGGGAGAGGAACUGGCCGAUGGAAAUAUCAGUGGGUGAGGACUGUUUUGCAGUGAGUCAUUUCAGCCACAGUGUAAUGUCAGAUUUUAAACCGUUUGGGUGCCAAGGGGGCAGAUCUCCUCUGGCAUGAGAUGACAAGCAGUAAUUUUGUGAGGAUGACAAGAUAACUGAAACCAAAGCUGAGAUAAGUAUGAGCUAACUUAAAAGAUAUGUUGAGUGCUAAAUGCUUAAAACUUGCUGUGGGACAUUUUGAAUCUAUUGAAUGAAAUAAUUAUUCCCUUCAGACUUGUUGGAGGAAGGUUGCAGGAAUGUCAGUUCCCCUCUACAGCUGCAGAUUGCUGAGGCGGGUUACAUUGAAUGAGAGUUGCAGAAUGCACUUCUCUGUAAUGAUGCUGUGGAGGGUGAUGCUUGGUACUCACAUCAAUCUGAUUUGCAUACCCCCUCAACUUUGAGAACAUGAAGUGAAUCCUCUGAAAGCAAAGCAGAAAGAGAAGGGUAAUUAGGAAUGAGAUGUAGAAUCUGAAACAAAAUUCUGCAGAAAUAGAAAAAAAAUAGCAUUGAAGUGAAAAAUCAAUCAUUUACCAUCUUUUCAAUGCUCUUCUGUGAUACACACCUCCAUAUUUCCCUGGUGAAUCAUUUUCUCAUAUUUCCCUGGUGAAUCACUUUCUCCCUUAGGCUCAGCUCAAUGUUUUGGACAUGGCUGACUUGUUCUCUGACCAGAGGUGCACAGCCCUGAACCUGGGAUUAUGUAGCUCUGACAUUCAACCGGAAUGAGAGUAAAGCAAAGACUGGGAGAAGGACCAGGUCCUGCGGCAUUGUUUGAGACUCCGAAUCAAGCCACAGCUGAAAGUAGAUCUACCCAGGACUUCUUAACCACUUCGGUAUGAGAGUCGACUGUAGUCGACAGCCACAGAGAACCCGCACAGCCUGGCGUCCACUGUGGUCAACAGCCACAGAGAACGCGCACAGCCCAGCGGCGACCGUAGCCCACGGCCACAGAUGAACGCGCACAGACUGUA